CGAGCUGACUCGAUCA
rnacentral:rRNA from 1 species